rnacentral:rRNA from 1 species
UACGUAGGGGGCAAGCGUUGUCCGGAAUCAUUGGGCGUAAAGCGCGUGUAGGCGGCCCGGUAAGUCCGCUGUGAAAGUCGGGGGCUCAACCCUCGAAUGCCGGUGGAUACUGUCGGGCUAGAGUGCGGAAGAGGCGAGUGGAAUUCCUGGUGUAGCGGUGGAAUGCGCAGAUAUCAGGAGGAACACCGAUGGCGAAGGCAGCUCGCUGGGACGGUACUGACGCUGAGGCGCGAAAGCGUGGGGAGCAAACAGG